CAAAAUACAAGUCUAAGACCAAACACUAAACAGACGUUAAUGACCACACACACACACACACACACUCGUGCGCGCGUUUAGAAAAGAAUUUUUAUGCAUUUGUUCAUCUCUGUUUUUAGCCAAGGCUUGUUUGGGGCACUCUUGCUGUCUGUGGUAGAUGCUGUAGAGAACUGCCCUGAUCGCCCUUUGAGACUAAAUAACUGAUUUUCUCAACUGCUGAGAGGGUUGGCUGCUACGAGUUUCCUGCAGUUCAUGACCUCUUUCUAUGCAAUACUACUUCCUUCACCACUACGGAUGUUGUUUCCCAGACCAUUCCUUCUUUGAUAAGCAUCCAUUGUGAAAGUCUCCAUCUCAGAAGCUGUUUCCUGAUAAUCCUAAGCUAAGAUACUUCCUAUUUGUACUCAGCAAGGACUUGGCGGUUAUACAUUCAGGACUGGAGCUUGAGGCUUUGAAUGGGUCUCAGCUCUACUAGAGCUCUUACAGUACCUGCUUCUCACAGUGUGAUGAUUCAAGCUCCCUGGUGGAACAUGCUCCUCUGCAGAAGGGAAUGAGAGAGAAUGAGCUUCACCAUCUUCCUUUCUAUCUUGCCCAGGAUUUAGCCACCUGAGUGGCUCAAGCUUUCUCAGAGUAAGCUCUUGCCAGACUCCUUUCCAAUGUGUUUCCUUUCUGACAUGAUUACUACUCUCUCUUCUUUCUCUCUCUCUCUCUCUACACACACAAAAUAGAUGCACACAUAUAUGUAUGUGUGUGUGUAGCUAUUUAUAUACUUAUACAUUUAUUAUGUAUAUGUAUUUAUAUAUACAUAAUUGCCAUUGUUUAGGAAUGUUUUAUUUUAAUGCAUUUAUCAAACUCUUUAAUGGCUUCUAUGUUUUGAAUAUCAAGAAAGGCCUCCUCCCAAAAUCCUCUCAGG
rnacentral:lncRNA from 10 species